AACGCGAAGAACCUUACCUAAGCUUGACAUCCUUUUGACCUCUCCUUAAUCGGAGAUUUCCCUUCGGGGACAGAAGUGACAGGUGGUGCAUGGUUGUCGUCAGCUCGUGUCGUGAGAUGUUGGGUUAAGUCCCGCAACGAGCGCAACCCUUGCCUUUAGUUGCCAGCAUUAAGUUGGGCACUCUAGAGGGACUGCCAGGGAUAACCUGGAGGAAGGUGGGGAUGACGUCAAAUCAUCAUGCCCCUUAUGCUUAGGGCUACACACGUGCUACAAUGGGUGGUACAGAGGGCAGCCAAGUCGUGAGGCGGAGCUAAUCCCUUAAAGCCAUUCUCAGUUCGGAUUGUAGGCUGAAACUCGCCUACAUGAAGCUGGAGUCACUAGUAAUCGCAGAUCAGAAUUGGCUC
rnacentral:rRNA from 1 species